CUCACUUGCUGUGUUGUGUGCCCAAAUGUUCGUCCUCAAAGAGAAAAAAAAUCCUACCGUGGACAGACUUUCCACCGUUUCCCCAAAGAGCAGGCACUUCGCAGUGGAUGUAUAAAUCACAUCUAGAGGGGUCCUGGUCCAUAUUUCAAGAUCAACGCUGAGACCAAGGUUUGCUCUGAGCACUUUGAGAAGCAGUGUUUUGUAAAGACCACCCGUGUUAUCACAAAGCUUAUAAAGGAUGCUGUGCCAACUUUCGCCUGGACUUCAGAGAGGCCAAAGAGGAGAAUCAUCAUUCGCAGACCGAGAGAUGAUGACCCAUUCCUGAAGUUGGACGCCAGAAUGCAGGAAGGUGCUGUUUAAGAGCCUAGGCGGUGGAAGAAGCACUUGCAGGUAUGCUACCGACCAGGCUCCUCAACAUCAAUCCGAGACGGAAGAUGAAACGGGAUGAAGCAGUUAGAUUGAGGAUAACGUACCUCAACAGUCUUCUUCAGAUUCUCUACAAACACAGUCUGAGUGGUGAUUAGAACAUGCCUGGCAUCCAAGGGUGUGGCCAGUUUGUUAACCCUUUACACUCUACACUUUACAAUUAGAAUUAUUGUACACUGUCUGGACAAGAUGUAGAAUACUACUGAGCGACAGUGAUAUGUCAUGUUCUUAAUACUGUUAUAUCCUGUCAUUACAGACAAGGCGGCCGGAAACGUUGAUGACCUCAAUGACACUGGCUAGGUGAAGGACAUCAACAAAAUGGCAUCAGGUCACCAGACAUCAGCUCAUAAUCCACAACAUCAUCAACCAUUUUGCGCCAAAAAUGAAGCCGUUCACAUACCAUGGCAUCCUAAGCAGGCAGCACUACACUACUGUGCAACAGUGAGAGAGAGCGGGCAAGGACAAGUAAAGCGGACCUACACUACAGCAAGACUUUGACACUUCUCCACGUUAGAGGCAACCAUCACCCCCACCGUUGAGCAGCGGCUAUGUGUAACCCCCAAAAGAGGAGAUGAUCCGACGAUGUGUGUGUGGUGUGUGCGUGUGUGUGUGUGAUGUAUGAUAUUGUAACACUUCAGUCCUUCUUUUAUACUAUACAGUGUAUACAUAUACAUUUGUGGGUUUGUUUAAAAACCAUAGCUGAGGUUAAGAAAUGCAUUAUGACAAAUACAUCUGAUUCAGGUGUACUGUCUUUUAUUUGCCACAAAUAAAUCACAUCCUGGAAACCUG